GAUGAACGCUGGCGGCGUGCCUAAUACAUGCAAGUCGAGCGAACAGACGAGAAGCUUGCUUUUCUGAUGUUAGCGGCGGACGGGUGAGUAACACGUGGAUAACCUACCUAUAAGACUGGGAUAACUUCGGGAAACCGGAGCUAAUACCGGAUAAUAUUUUGAACCGCAUGGUUCAAAAGUGAAAGACGGUCUUGCUGUCACUUAUAGAUGGAUCCGCGCCGCAUUAGCUAGUUGGUAAGGUAACGGCUUACCAAGGCAACGAUGCAUAGCCGACCUGAGAGGGUGAUCGGCCACACUGGAACUGAGACACGGUCCAGACUCCUACGGGAGGCAGCAGUAGGGAAUCUUCCGCAAUGGGCGAAAGCCUGACGGAGCAACGCCGCGUGAGUGAUGAAGGUCUUCGGAUCGUAAAACUCUGUUAUUAGGGAAGAACAUAUGUGUAAGUAACUGUGCACAUCUUGACGGUACCUAAUCAGAAAGCCACGGCUAACUACGUG
rnacentral:rRNA from 1 species